rnacentral:lncRNA from 1 species
CUUCUCUACAGCAAUGCUAGAUGACAAAGUAGCCAUAACUUCAAAAUUCUGAAGGAUACUAAUUCCUUUUUUUUUUUUUUUUUUUUUUUUUUGAGACGGAGUCUCACUCUGUCACCCAGGCUGGAGUGCAGUGGUGCAAUCUCGGCUCACUGCAGGCUCCACCUCCCGGGUUCAUGCCAUUCUCCUGCCUCAGCCUCCCGAGUAGCUGGGACCACAGGAAUGAGCCACUGCGCCCGGCACUAAUUCCAACAUAGAAUUUCAUACCCAAUCAAAUCAAGUGUGAGCACAUUUUUAGACAUGCAGAUACUCCCCCAAAAUAAGGUGAUAAAAGAAGAGGUUACACAGAAAACAGAGAUCCAACAGAGGAGCAGUGUGGGGAGUGCCCAGGGUGACAGUGACACACCAAGCACGGGGAGAAACCAGUCCAGAUUGGGGUGGGUCAAGAAUAAUAACUGAUAAAUGAUGUCAUGAUCUUCAGAUAUGAUUGGGGUUGAAUUAGUGACAAAUAGAAAACCAAGCAAAUAAAAAUGCAAGAGGAUUACUUUCAGGGAAAAGUUCCACAGUAAUCUAGUCUAUUGUAUGACUCAGCUGUGAUCACUAUGACACUGUCAUAUUUUUAAAAAGUUUAAUCACAUCUUAAUAAUUUGACACUGAAUAUGAUCUAACCAGAAUUACAAUAUCAGGGAGAUGGGUGAGAGGAAGUAAAUUCAUGGUGGGCAGGAGGAAGAGAGGAUUCAAAAGAUAAUGCCCUAUUUUAAACGUCUAUUGUAUCUGACCAACUCACUGAUGCUUAUUCCUCAGAAUACCAGCUCUGUAACCUCCAGGUAGUAUCAUAAGACAAAGCUUAUUAGAACCUCAUUAAUUGAUGCCAGGUUAACUAAUGUGCUGGAUUUUUUUCCCCUCCUCUUUCAUUACUUGAAUAAUCUGUUCAAUGAGCAAUAUUCUAAAAGCCAAUAAUUGAUCAGUUUUCCUCUUGAUGGCUUAUGCUGUAGCUCAUACCAUAAUGAAUACCUGGCAAGACCUCUUUUUGGUGAUUUGAUUUUUUCAGGCUGCUUUUCCAGUUUCUGUGUUUUUGUCACAAUUAUUCACCCUGUGUAUCUUAUACUCUUUACUACUACUUAUUUUUCUUUAAAGACAAAGUCUUGCUCUUUUGCCCAGGCUGGAGUACAGUGGCAAGGUCAUAGCUCACUGCAGCCUCAUACUCCCAGGCUCAAGUGAUCCUCCCACCUCAGCCUCCCUAGUAGCGAGGACUACAGGUGUGCACCACCAUGCCAAGUUAAUUUUUAGAAUUUUUUGUAGAGACAGGGUCUCACUAUGUCUCGCGGGCUGGUUUUGAACUCCUCUCAAACAAUCCUCUACCUCAGCCUCCCAGAGUGCUGGAAGCAAGCCACUGUGCUGAGCUGCUGGUCACCCUUCCUACAUUAACAACUAUGGAUGUGCCAAUCAAUGCUGAGAUGCUCUGAUAUGCUCCCAAGAAUCUGUUUCCACAAAUCACCACAAAACUACUUGUUGUAGCCAGUAUACGAGCCAAGGAAGCUGGCCACUAGGAUCCCCUGAAUUACUUUUUUUUUUUUGAGGUGCAGUCUCGCUCUGUCACCCAAGCUGGAG